AACUUAAGUACUUAACAGUACUCCCACUGUACCCAAAAGCUUUAGGAAACAAAAUAAGCUGAAAAAGUUGUAAAAUGAUUUUAGAAUUUGUUAUAUGGGCAGAAAACUAAAAUUAGAGACUAGUCUUCACAAUUAUUUGUUCAGUAUUAGAACCAAAAGAAGAUGAUGCAAAGGGAAGAAAGAGGAAAGGCAUGGGCUACCUUCAUCUGUCUAUUACUGUGAUACCAUCAGAUAGCAGUCUUCUCUUCUGUUAGUCUUCCUAUGUCAACUGAACUC
rnacentral:lncRNA from 1 species